ACGGGGACUGAGCUGGGAACGUGCAUUCAAUUUCACAGAGAAACAGAAGCCAACCGGCAAGAAACCCCUCUUCUUUUCCUGUUAAAAUGAAUGAGACACAGCCAAAAGAGGAGGACCAGAAACCAUUAACUUCAUCAAAUCCAGUAUUAGAACUUAAACUGGCAAAGGAAAAGUUACACAUGACUCUUUCUGGGCAAGAGGUUAUCAAAAGAUUGAGAAAGAGGAAAACCAAUCAGACUAUUUGAAAAACUGAUUGUGAUGUUUUUCAACUUUUAAGAACAAUAGAGUUCCUCACACCUGUACUUAACAAGAUAGAGCAGGAGGGAGAGAGGGCGGAAGAGAGAUAGAAACACUGACCUGAUGU